UAUUCUUAAUAUCCUCAUCUUGCUGGCUCCAGCCCCCACCGUCCCCCGCGGGAAGCCACGUCCUGCGUGAGUUCCUCUCCCCUCUCAAGUGUGUGGGCGAAUCCUGUGUGCUCACGAAUCCGGGGAGACGGCCACCUGCGUCGUCCUCUGUCCCCGUCAACCGCCAUUUCCACUGCCCCCUUCAGUUUCUCCGUGACGGUCCUGUCCCGCCAGGUCCCGCCUGCCUCUGCUUCUAGAUCGCUGCAGGAUCUCCCUGUUUGCGGGUCACUAAGGGGAAGAGUGCUCCUCUAGGGUGGGAUCCCCCAGCAGGGCUGUUUGGGACCGCUCAUCGGACGGCUCCCUCUCUUGCUCUCAGCCUCCUCCUCCCAAGGUUGGCGACUGGGUUGUAACAGGUCCGGGAACCAGCCGGCAGGAUGGAUCCGGACCCAAGACUCCCCCCAUCCUGAGGCCCCUGGCUUGCCACCCGGACUCUGUGCUUUCUCUUAGGAAGGGUUUCUCCUUGGUUCCUGACGGUCCUUCCUGGCUUCCACUGGGUGUCUGCCUUUCUUGUUCCAGGCACGCCUCACGUGUGUCCGAACCCAAAGUAACCUGGUCCUGCUGCCAUCUUGUGACCUAGUGGCUGCACGUGGAUGGCUGGAUGUGGAGCAUCGCUCGGCCCUGCUCCCUAGGUUCCUUCAGUUCCUGCGUUUCCAAUCAAAUCAUCUCAAGUCAAUAAUCUUCCUUGGCAACGUUCUCGAACAGACAUGAAACGUUCUGCCGAGCGGACCCGUCUUCGCUUGUGCUACCCCUGUCCUCUGGCGGGACAUCGAGGUGACUUCCAGUUUCUCUCUGUCAUAAAAAAGGCCGUGACGAACAUCCUCAGCACCCCAAGCUUGGGUCACAUCUCCAAAGAUGCCUGCAGGGGGCGUUCCCAGAAGUGGGGGGUGAGCGGGCCAAAGGUUGUGAACCUCCUUUAAGCAACAAAAACAUCCUGCUAAAUGUCCUUUCAGAAAAAUGGCACUGAGUCCUGCCAGCAGUAGAGGAAAUUCUUCAUCUCGCUUCCCCCCACCCCCACCCCCCCAGCAUCGGGUGUCCCACAAAGCCAGGGGCUUUGUGCACCUGCGCUUACUGGCUGUCGUGGGCCCGGCUCUGGGUACCUGCUGGGGGACGUGGCCGCACAUCACACUGUUUAGGCAGCUGCUAUGAGGUGCCAGUGCCUCUAGGGUCCACACAAGUCAGGGAAGAUCUAUGUCGUUUUCUUUGAUUUCAAAUGAAGUGGCUUCUAAACACCACUUAAAAAUACGUUAAUAAUGGUGGCGACGUAUCACCCAUCUUGAAGAAGUGACAGGUGUUUCCCUCAGCAAAAUGUUGAAGUGGGAGAGUGGGUUAGGGCGUUAGGAGAUCGAUUCGUUUCUGCCAAGGGGCUCAUUACCUCUUGUCUAGACGGCCUCCUGACUGGCCCCCUGCCUCCAGCUCCCGCAGCCCACCACCCCCCUCUGGCCCAAUCCCUCCCCCACACUGAGGUCUAGUUAACCUUGUUGACGUGGUUCGGGAAAGUGGGAUGUGUGAGGGGCUUGGAGUCAGGUGCCCGGCGUUCUGGUCUGUGUUCUGUCACUGAGUUCCUGGGUGUGGUGGAUCCACAUCUACCUCUGUGUCCCCCUUUUCUCGGAUCGGCACUCCGGGUUUCCUUUGAGGUCCCACUCUGCCCUUUCUCAGUCUUGGGAUGUCAUGGCAGGCUGACACUGCCCCCCCCCCCCAUUCAGAGGUAGGCAUAUUAUACCCAGGCUUGGCCAUUGAGAGUUCUGCAGACCCCUGGCCCAAUGAUCAAGGGGCAGCGUGUGUCUGAGGCUGAGCCAGCCAUUUUCUGAGGGCUGGAUCCAACUGUACCUGAAGCUCACUCUCAACAUCCUGGUUAUGUGAGCCAAAUCUCCACUCCUCGUCCUCCUCCUCCUCCCUACUUCUCCUUCCUCCUCCUCCUCCUCCUCUUCCUCCUCCUCCUCCUCCUCUUCCUCCUCCUCCUCCUCUUCCUCCUCCUCCCUCUCCUCCAAAUCCAUCUGAAUUGGGUGCUUGUUACUUGUAAACAAAAGAGCUGAGACUGCUACACAGCGUGACCUUGGGCAAGUCCUUUUUUCUGUGGUGGUCUCAGUUGUUCCAUCUGGGAAAUGAAAGGGUUGGGAUUCUUUGAGGUUCUUCUAGCCUGGGAAGUUCAAGUUCCCCAUCUGGGUUGGGAGGGUCACAGGUGGAAGGGCUGGCUUGUCCGGAGACUCCAUUGCUGUGCAACAUCGCCAGGAGCAACCUCAGUGGGCACAGUUCUUCCCAGACCUCCAAAGGGCUGCCCCGGGGCAAAGGCAGUGGUAGAGUAGCCUCCCCUGGGGGAAGAUCCGGGGGCACCCUGGCGUUUCCUGGAACAUCGUGACCAGCAGUGAGAGGUGCUGCCCCUGCUCUGUGUCUCUCAAAGGCUCCCAAGUACCUUCAGGAUUAAGUCCUACUUACCCCCUUCGAUGGGCAGAAGGCCAGGCUCCGCACAGCGCUUAAUAAAUAUUAAAUGAACAAUUGAAUGAGCAAA